GUUGUGCGGGGUCGCGCAGGGUCACGCGGGGCCUCGCAGGACCUCGCAGGGCGGCGCGUGGAAACAAGCCAACAGGCGGGCUCUGGGAGGCAGGCUUUGCAACAAGGAGAGUGGGGGCGGCCUCCGCUUCCCCCAGGAGGGGGAAUCUAUCUUUCUGAAGUCCAUGCCAUACAACAUUUGAUAAUAUUUUUAAAACACUACGUAUUUUCUGAAAAUAAAUCCCCCAAAAAGACACUUGUAGUUUGUAUGUUAGAGCUCCAAUGCCAAACAAAUUCUAUAUGAUAACCUGAAGAACUGAGCAGAAGUAGAUAGAAAUCUUACCACAACAAUGGACAGAGAAUCAGAAUAAAUCUAACACCAAUAUGCUUCAUGGAAAGAGAUGGAAACCAACAAAGAGAAUGGAAUUUUAACAGUUAUUCAUGUUGAGGGAGAAAUCAGGGAGUGGGAAGACUCAGUAUGAGACACUACGGGGAUAACUCCUGCCUGUGGCUUCUGCGUAGACUCGCGCUCAGAGUGAGAUCCAGGGAGAUGAAUCAUGACUUGCUGAAGGCGAGUGUCAGGAAUACAUCAUUGAAGUCUACACCAGCAACCUUGGGGGGAAAUUCUAUUUCUGUGUGGGAAUAAAAAAUACACAUUAAUCCUAAAUAAAAAUUAGAGAUCUGUGUUGGGGA